rnacentral:rRNA from 1 species
AACGAACGCUGGCGGCGGGCUUAACACAUGCAAGUCGAACGCCCCGCAAGGGGAGUGGCAGACGGGUGAGUAACGCGUGGGAACAUACCCUUUUCUACGGAAUAGCCCUGGGAAACUGGAAUUAAUACCGUAUACGCCCUACGGGGGAAAGAUUUAUCGGGGAAGGAUUGGCCCGCGUUGGAUUAGCUAGUUGGUGGGGUAAAGGCCUACCAAGGCGACGAUCCAUAGCUGGUCUGAGAGGAUGAUCAGCCACAUUGGGACUGAGACACGGCCCAAACUCCUACGGGAGGCAGCAGUGGGGAAUAUUGGACAAUGGGCGCAAGCCUGAUCCAGCCAUGCCGCGUGAGUGAUGAAGGCCUUAGGGUUGUAAAGCUCUUUCACCGAUGAAGAUAAUGACGGUAGUCGGAGAAGAAGCCCCGGCUAACUUCGUGCCAGCCGCCGCCGUAAAAC